UACGGGGGGGGCAAGCGUUGUUCGGAAUUACUGGGCGUAAAGGGCUCGUAGGUGGCCAACUAAGUCAGACGUGAAAUCCCUCAGCUUAACUGGGAACUGCGUCUGAUACUGGAUGGCUUGAGUUUGGGAGAGGGAUGCGGAAUUCCAGGUGUAGCGGUGAAAUGCGCAGAUAUCAGGAAGAACACCCGUGGCUAAGGCGGCUCUCUAGUACGGUACUGACGCUGAGACGCGAAAGCGUGGGGAGCGAACAGG
rnacentral:rRNA from 1 species